GCGCCGUGGCGGAGGUCGCGCGCGGCAUCAGCGGGCGCGACCAGGCACAGGGUCCGGUCGGCAGGUUCCAUGCCUUCACGCCGCGCC
rnacentral:tRNA from 1 species